AAGACUGUACUUUCAGGGAUCAUUUCUAUAGUUUGUUACUAGAGAAGUUUCUCUGAACGUGUAGAGCAGCUGAAGCCAUGAGGAGGAGGCACAGUGUUUUCUGCUGAGCACAAAAGUGGCUUUUGCUGUUGCUUUUGCAGCUGCCAAUAGCCAUUGAUGAUCUUCCUUAGGAAGAGUAAGAGGGAGAGAAUGCAGUCCGAGUGGU